CCUACGGGGUGCAGCAGUGGGGAAUAUUGGACAAUGGGCGAAAGCCUGAUCCAGCCAUGCCGCGUGUGUGAAGAAGGCCUUCGGGUUGUAAAGCACUUUCAGUGGGGAAGAAAGCCUUGGGGCUAAUACCCUCGAGGAAGGACAUCACCCACAGAAGAAGCACCGGCUAACUCCGUGCCAGCAGCCGCGGUAAUACGGAGGGUGCGAGCGUUAAUCGGAAUUACUGGGCGUAAAGCGCGCGUAGGCGGUCUGAUAAGCCGGUUGUGAAAGCCCCGGGCUCAACCUGGGAACGGCAUCCGGAACUGUCAGGCUAGAGUGCAGGAGAGGAAGGUAGAAUUCCCGGUGUAGCAGUGAAAUGCGUAGAGAUCGGGAGGAAUACCAGUGGCGAAGGCGGCCUUCUGGACUGACACUGACGCUGAGGUGCGAAAGCGUGGGUAGCCAACAGGAUUAGAUACCCCGGUAGUC
rnacentral:rRNA from 1 species